rnacentral:rRNA from 1 species
UGCGCGGAAGAUGUAACGGGGCUAAACCAUGCACCGAAGCUGCGGCAGCGAACGUAUCACUUAAAGCGAUUCAGCGGGUUACGAUUGACGGAGCGAAGCGACGUCAAAGCGUAUACAAAGUCGAGUCGGUUUAAGGAUACGUUCGUUGGGUAGGGGAGCGUUCUGUAAGCCCGUGAAGGUGGCCUGUGAGGGUUGCUGGAGGUAUCAGAAGUGCGAAUGCUGACAUAAGUAACGAUAAAGCG